rnacentral:rRNA from 1 species
AUUGAACGCUGGCGGAAUGCUUUACACAUGCAAGUCGAACGGCAGCACGGGUGCUUGCACCUGGUGGCGAGUGGCGAACGGGUGAGUAAUGCGUCGGAACGUGCCGAGUAAUGGGGGAUAACGCAGCGAAAGUUGUGCUAAUACCGCAUACGCCCUGAGGGGGAAAGUGGGGGAUCGCAAGACCUCACGUUAUUCGAGCGGCCGACGUCUGAUUAGCUAGUUGGUGGGGUAAAGGCCUACCAAGGCGACGAUCAGUAGCGGGUCUGAGAGGAUGAUCCGCCACACUGGGACUGAGACACGGCCCAGACUCCUACGGGAGGCAGCAGUGGGGAAUUUUUGGACAAUGGGGGCAACCCUGAUCCAGCCAUUCCGCGUGAGUGAAGAAGGCCUGGUGU